rnacentral:rRNA from 1 species
UACGAAGGUCCCAAGCGUUAUCCGGAUUUAUUGGGUUUAAAGGGUGCGUAGGCGGGUUAUUAAGUCAGUGGUGAAAGCCUUCAGCUUAACUGAAGAAUUGCCAUUGAUACUGAUGAUCUUGAGUAUGAUUGAGGUGGGCGGAAUGUGUCAUGUAGCGGUGAAAUGCUUAGGUAUGACACAGAACACCGAUUGCGAAGGCAGCUCACUAAGUCAUAACCGACGCUGAUGCACGAAAGCGUGGGGAGCAAACAGG